AGGGAGGUAAGAAGGUGUCAGAGGUAAUUGGUUGUUGCCAUGAGCCAUUGACACAGGAAAUUCUUAGAGUUGAUAUUGUUUUGUAAAUUGACUAGUAGAGAAUUAUGGAAGCCUUGGGACUUUGUUGGAGGUGAGUUUUCUAAAUGUGUUUAGGUUUGUUUGUGUUUUUGCAACUGAGAUUGACUAACUUUAUGGGCCUUUAAGGCUUCAAACUAAAACUUGAAAAUUGACUCUUUUCCCCUCCUUAUUUGUUUUUGUUUUGCUGCUGGCUUUGAAACUUGUGCUAGGAAGAGACCUGGAAAAUUAAGUUUCUUGCAGAGUACAGUGGGGAUUGCAGCUGUUGAGCAGAGAUUCUGGAAAGUAUUGCGCACCUGAGCUCCCAGCAUGGCGGGCCUCAAGCGGCGGGCAAGCCAGGUGUGGCCAGAAGAGCAUGGCGAGCAGGAGCACGGGCUGUAUAGCCUGCACCGCAUGUUUGAUAUUGUGGGCACCCAUCUGACACACAGAGAUGUGCGUGUGCUUUCUUUCCUCUUUGUUGAUGUCAUUGAUGACCACGAGCGUGGACUCAUCCGGAAUGGACGUGACUUCUUACUGGCGCUGGAGCGUCAGGGCCGCUGUGAUGAGAGUAACUUUCGCCAGGUGCUGCAGGUGCUGCGCAUCAUCACUCGCCAUGACCUGCUGCCCUAUGUCACCCUCAAGCGGAGACGGGCUGUGUGCCCUGAUCUUGUAGACAAGUAUCUGGAGGAGACAUCGAUUCGCUAUGUGACCCCCAGAGCUCUCAGUGAUCCAGAACUGAGGCCUCCCCAGCCCCCUAAAACAGUGCCUCCCCAUUAUCCUGUGGUGUGCUGCUCCACUUCGAGUCCUCAGAUGUGUAGCAAGCGGCCAGCCCAGGGGAGAGCCACACUUGGGAGCCAGCUAAAACGCCGGAAGUCAGUGACACCAGAUCCCAAGGAAAAGCAGACAUGUGACAUCAGGCUGCGGGUUCGGGCUGAAUACUGCCAGCACGAGACUGCUCUGCAGGGCAAUGUCUUCUCUAACAAGCAGGACCCACUUGAGCGCCAGUUUGAGCGCUUUAACCAGGCCAACACCAUCCUCAAGUCCCGGAAUCUGGGCUCCAUCAUCUGUGACAUCAAGUUCUCUGAGCUGACCUGCCUCGAUGCAUUCUGGCAUGACUACAUCAAUGGCUCGUUACUAGAGGCACUUAAAGGUGUCUUCAUCACAGACUUCCUUAAGCAAGCUGUGGGCCAUGAAGCCAUCAAGCUCUGGUGAAUGUGGACGAGGAGGCCUAUGAGCUAGACCGACAGAAACUCCUGAGGAACUUGAUGCUGCAAGCAUUGCCCUGACCUUUCCCCUUCUCACUUCUCUGGGGACUGUUCCCACACCCACCUCUGGAGCUUACAUACUGUUCGGGGGUUUGUUCUCUACCCUUCCAGCCAAUCACACCCCUGCCUUUUUUUUUUUUAAAGGAAAAGACAAAGGAAAUUGGAGGUGGUGUUCCCGCCCUCCCUGCACCCACAUGCCUGGGUUUCCCCUUGUUUCCCUUUUCCACUUACCCUGAUGUGUCUCUACAGCCACCUUACCACGGAGCCACAGACAAACGUACAGGGUGAAGCAAAGUCUGUGGAACAUAGUCUUUGUAAGGGAUUGAACACUGCUUUGGGGUGCACUGAGGGACUAUCGGUACUUCUGGCUUUAUGAGGGCUCUUAAAUAUUGUCUGAAAAACCAAAGGGCUGUGAGUAAGGGAGCUAUGUGGAAGGUGGGACUCUGAAGUGUAUUUUGGAAAUUAAUCACUCACCCUCUUCCAAAUUACAGAAUUUAUAAAAAA